CUACGGAGGGUGCAAGCGUUACUCGGAAUCACUGGGCGUAAAGCGCGCGCAGGCGGCUUGAUAAGUUGGAUGUGAAAGCCUACGGCUCAACCGUAGAACUGCAUCCAAAACUGUCAAGCUAGAGUCUGGGAGGGGAAGAUGGAAUUAGUUGUGUAGGGGUAAAAUCCGUAGAGAUAACUAGGAAUACCAAAAGCGAAGGCGAUCUUCUGGAGCAGUACUGACGCUGAGGCGCGAAAGCGUGGGGAGCAAACAGGAUUAGAAACCCUAGUAGUCC
rnacentral:rRNA from 1 species